rnacentral:rRNA from 1 species
GACAGAGGUGCCGAGCGUUAGGCGGAAUCACUGGGCUUAAAGCGUGUGUAGGCGGGUGCCUAAGUACCUUGUGAAAUCCCACGGCUCAACCGUGGAACUGCUUGGUAUACUGGGUAUCUUGAGCCACUUAGGGGCAACCGGAACAAACGGUGGAGCGGUAAAAUGCGUAGAUAUCGUUUGGAACGCCAAUGGUGAAAACAGGUUGCUGGGAGUGUGCUGACGCUGAGACACGAAAGCCAGGGGAGCAAACGGG